CGUGUGAGAGGGAGGAGGCAUCUCAGGGGCUGAGGUGGACAGGAAGCGAGAGGUGGAUUCCAGCCUCUCUGCUCUGUUGGGUUUUUCAGAGGAACACAGGCCCGGCCAUGCACAAUCUCUAUGUCCAGUUCCUGUGCUAGCCCUGAAGGCAAUGUCCUUCGGAGAGCAGUUCUCAGAGGACCAAGAUGGCUGUUGCUGCUCCAGAUAUUUUGCAUAUAUCCCAAGUAAAAGGAGGCAGUAUGGCAACCACAUGAAGAAAACAAGCUUUCUCAGGUGCUGGAUGGGAACACAUUUCACUGGACUUCACUGGCUCUCUCUCAACAGGAGAAUCUGAGCAUACUUGGUACUGUGGCUGAGGAAUACAAAGCCCAGCUUUCUGUUUGACCCCAUCCGCACACACAGCCUACGUCUGCUGGGCACACAGAGGAGAGUGGCAGGAGAGUGGGAUAUGCUGCUGUCUUCCUGGUGCUCUGGGUGCAGGGUUUGGGAAGUGUUACCAAAAAGGCUUCCUGGUGAUAAGUCAUGCCUUCUCAGCCACGGUUUUGGAAGAACAGGCUUCGCCUGCAUCUCUUCUCAUUUGUUUGCUUGCUUGCUUUGGGUCAUUGCACACCAGCAGAACCAGAUGAGACUUGUUCAGUGUCCCACCCAGGACAUAUGGUAGCAAAUACUAAAUCAUUGCAUGCACAGCCACCUGCUCCUCAGGCCCCUAGUCCCCAGACACUCCAUCUUUCACCAGCUUCCUAACAUGUAUGCUGUGUCACGUCCAAGGUUUUCAGAUGUUAGCAAAAAGGUCUCAGAGAUACUGGGCUACAGCGCCUCACUGGAGAGAGAAAGACUCGCCAGUGCAUUUGGACAGUGAGGUCCGGCCGCUCACCUCCUGGUUUCAUCACCCUCUCUGCACUUCCCCUCAUUUCUUUACAGGCACUGUGCUUUCCCUGUCUGUGCAGUGUCUCCCCCAAGUAAGCCAAGAUGAUCCCACUUCAUUCCCGUCACAAUGGCUCCUUCUGCUGACUGGGGGAAUCUCCUGUAGAUGUCUACAGAGACACCUCCUCUGUGCAAUCCUCUCCUCUCCUCUGUGCAAAUGAUCUUUGUCAGCGCAAUCACACCAGAGGCCCCAGGAUUCAGAGUCUUCACCACUGGACAUGUGUCCUUAGUUGAUGAUUUGUCUGUCUCUUGUACUGGAUCCUGCUUCUCAUUUUAGUCUUGCAGUAUUAGUUCAGUGAAUGAGCCCAUGUGACAGGAAUUAUCAUUCUCAUUUGCAAAUUAAGCAGCUGCAGUGUGACAAGGUUAGCUGAACAGUGAGAUGAGUUUCUUGAAGAAACACCACACAUGGAAGCUGGGAAGCUUCCAGGAUUCCAGAGGCAUGGCUGUCAGUCAGUCGAUGGGACAAUCCUGGGUCCGUAUGUUUCAAACACUUCUCUGAUGUCACUGAGCUGUCUGUGACUUAAGGAUGCUCAGCAUCAGCUGUUUUUACCAAAAAUGAAAGCCCAUCUAGGUUCCUGCCUGUGGUCACCAUCCUGGAAAGCCAUGCAGAACCAUUUUAUUUCAGGAAAUUCAUACCCUUUCUUAGACAUGUGUUGGAUGGUUCCAUGUCAAUACUCAGGGGCCCAAGCGCUACAUAAUCUUCAUUACUUUAUAAUUACAUUUCAAUUUCGGAAGUGCUUCUAUUUGUUUUCUGGGAAUCUCUUUGGAAACUUAUCAAGUAAUUAGUUGAUCAGCUUACCUUUGAGCAUCAAGUAGUAUUUUAUCUUAAUCUAAGAUGCCUUUAAUAACAAGGUAUCAGUGAUGUGAUAAUUCAAUUCUGAAGCCUCCAGAGACAUCCUAACAUUCUAUUUGUCAUACAAAUGCAGAGAUUCACUCAAGUGGAAAGAGUAUCCUUGUGCAGUUAUAUUUAUCACUGUGGCUAAACUAUGAAUUAAAGAUCUAACAUGUCAAA